GUGCCUAACACAUGCAAGUCGAACGGGGGUAAUGACUUCGGUUAUUACUUAGUGGCGAACGGGUGAGUAACGCGUGAGGAACCUGCCUUUCAGUGGGGGACAACAGUUGGAAACGACUGCUAAUACCGCAUAACGCAGCGAGACCGCAUGGUCUUGCUGUCAAAGCUUUAUGUGCUGAGAGAUGGCCUCGCGUCUGAUUAGCUAGUUGGCGGGGUAACGGCCCACCAAGGCGACGAUCAGUAGCCGGUCUGAGAGGAUGAACGGCCACAUUGGGACUGAGAUACGGCCCAGACUCCUACGGGAGGCAGCAGUGGGGAAUAUUGGGCAAUGGGGGAAACCCUGACCCAGCAACGCCGCGUGAAGGAAGAAGGCCUUCGGGUUGUAAACUUCUUUUACCAGGGACGAAGAACGUGACGGUACCUGGAGAAAAAGCCACGGCUAACUACGUG
rnacentral:rRNA from 1 species